rnacentral:miRNA from 1 species
GUUCAACCCCGGGGUUGAAGUUUCUACCCUGCUAGCUGAAGCAGGGUUGAAAUUUCAACCCCGGGGUUGAAC